AGUCGAACGGUAACAGGUCUUCGGACGCUGACGAGUGGCGAACGGGUGAGUAAUACAUCGGAACGUGCCCAGUCGUGGGGGAUAACUACUCGAAAGAGUAGCUAAUACCGCAUACGAUCUGAGGAUGAAAGCGGGGGACCUUCGGGCCUCGCGCGAUUGGAGCGGCCGAUGGCAGAUUAGGUAGUUGGUGGGAUAAAAGCUUACCAAGCCGACGAUCUGUAGCUGGUCUGAGAGGACGACCAGCCACACUGGGACUGAGACACGGCCCAGACUCCUACGGGAGGCAGCAGUGGGGAAUUUUGGACAAUGGGCGAAAGCCUGAUCCAGCAAUGCCGCGUGCAGGAUGAAGGCCUUCGGGUUGUAAACUGCUUUUGUACGGAACGAAAAAGCUCCUUCUAAUACAGGGGGCCCAUGACGGUACCGUAAGAAUAAGCACCGGCUAACUACGUGCCAGCAGCCGCGGUAAUACGUAGGGUGCGAGCGUUAAUCGGAAUUACUGGGCGUAAAGCGUGCGCAGGCGGUUAUGUAAGACAGAUGUGAAAUCCCCGGGCUCAACCUGGGAACUGCAUUUGUGACUGCAUGGCUAGAGUACGGUAGAGGGGGAUGGAAUUCCGCGUGUAGCAGUGAAAUGCGUAGAUAUGCGGAGGAACACCGAUGGCGAAGGCAAUCCCCUGGACCUGUACUGACGCUCAUGCACGAAAGCGUGGGGAGCAAACAGG
rnacentral:rRNA from 1 species